rnacentral:rRNA from 1 species
GGAUAACCUGCCCUUGAGACGGGGAUAAACCCGGGAAACUGGGUAUAAUACCCGAUAGAUCUCGGCUGCUGGAAUGCACCGAGUUCUAAAGCUCCGGCGCUCAAGGAUGGAUCUGCGGCCUAUCAGGUAGUAGUGGGUGUAGCGUACCUACUAGCCUACGACGGGUACGGGUUGUGAGAGCAAGAGCCCGGAGAUGGAUUCUGAGACACGAAUCCAGGCCCUACGGGGUGCAGCAGGCGCGAAAACUUUACAAUGCUGGAAACAGCGAUAAGGGGACCUCGAGUGCCAGGUUACAAAUCUGGCUGUCGUGAUGCCUAAAAAGCAUUGCAUAGCAAGGGCCGGGCAAGACCGGUGCCAGCCGCCGCGGUAACACCGGCGGCUCGAGUGGUAACCGUUAUUAUUGGGUCUAAAGGGUCUGUAGCCGGCCGGAUAAGUCUCUUGGGAAAUCUGGCAGCUUAACUGUCAGGCUUUCAGGAGAUACUGUCUGGCUCGAGGCCGGGAGAGGUGAGAGGUACUUCAGGGGUAGGGGUGAAAUCUUGUAAUCCUUGAAGGACCACCAGUGGCGAAGGCGUCUCACCAGAACGGACCUGACGGCAAGGGACGAAAGCUAGGGGCACGAACCGGAUUAGAUACCCGGGUAGUCCUAGCCGUAAACGAUACUCGCUAGGUGUCGGCCACGGUGCGACCGUUGUCGGUGCCGUAGGGAAGCCGUGAAGCGAGCCACCUGGGAAGUACGGCCGCAAGGCUGAAACUUAAAGGAAUUGGCGGGGAGCACCACAACGCGUGGAGCUUGCGGUUUAAUUGUAUUCAACGCCGGAAAUCUUACCGGGACCGACAGCAAUAUGAAGG